rnacentral:rRNA from 1 species
UCCGCCCGGGUACUACGAGCACAGCUUAAAACCCAAAGGACUUGGCGGUGCCCUAUACCACCUAGAGGAGCCUGUUCUUUAAUCGAUAAUCCACGAUCCACCUCACCAUUUCUUGCCUAAACAGCUUAUAUACCGCCGUCGUCAAUUUUCCCUCUGAAGGAUAAAAAGAAAGUCAGAAGGCCCCACCAAAACGUCAGGUCAAGGUGUAGCGAAUGAAAUGGGAAGAAAUGGGCUACAUUUUCUAAAAUAGACCAUACGAAUUAUCAAUAUGAAAUCUGAUUAUGAAGGAGGAUUUAGCAGUAAAAAGAAAUCAGCAAGUUCUUUUUAACAUGGCCCUGGGACGCGCACACACCGCCCGUCACCCUCUUCGACUCUUUUGACUUCUUACUUAAUCAUUAAUCUUGAACCUAGAAGAGGCAAGUCGUAACAUGGUAAGUAUACCGGAAGGUGUACUUGGA